GACGUAGGAGGCGAGCGUUGUCCGGAUUCAUUGGGCGUAAAGGGCUCGUAGGCGGUCUGUUGCGUCGGGAGUGAAAACUCAGGGCUUAACCCUGAGCCUGCUUCCGAUACGGGCAGACUAGAGGUAUGCAGGGGAGAACGGAAUUCCUGGUGUAGCGGUGAAAUGCGCAGAUAUCAGGAGGAACACCGGUGGCGAAGGCGGUUCUCUGGGCAUUACCUGACGCUGAGGAGCGAAAGUGUGGGGAGCGAACAGG
rnacentral:rRNA from 1 species